AACGAACGCUGGCGGCAUGCCUAACACAUGCAAGUCGAACGAGAUCUUCGGAUCUAGUGGCGCACGGGUGCGUAACGCGUGGGAAUCUGCCCUUUGCUUCGGAAUAACAGUUAGAAAUGACUGCUAAUACCGGAUGAUGUCUUCGGACCAAAGAUUUAUCGGCAAAGGAUGAGCCCGCGUAGGAUUAGGUAGUUGGUGGGGUAAAGGCCUACCAAGCCGACGAUCCUUAGCUGGUCUGAGAGGAUGAUCAGCCACACUGGGACUGAGACACGGCCCAGACUCCUACGGGAGGCAGCAGUGGGGAAUAUUGGACAAUGGGCGAAAGCCUGAUCCAGCAAUGCCGCGUGAGUGAUGAAGGCCUUAGGGUUGUAAAAUUCUUUCGUUCGGGGACGAUAAUGACGGUACCCGAAGAAGAAGCUACCGGCUAACUUCGUGCCAGCAGCCGCGGUAAAGUGACUACUG
rnacentral:rRNA from 1 species